GACAGAUAGCUCAGUUGGUAGAGCACCUGAGUAGAGAUUCAGGGGGCCUGGUUUCAAACCCCGGUCUGGUCC
rnacentral:tRNA from 1 species